UGACUUGUCGGCGGAGGCAUAUAACCGUGAGGCGGUAAUUCUAGUUUUCUUUUUAAAUGUUCUCUUCUGUAACUUAUUUCGUAGAUCUUAGGUUUUGGUGUCGCUCUGCUGGAUGCGGUGGAUCCCAAUCCUGCAAACUUUGUUGGGUCUGGAGUCAUUCACACGAAGAACACUCAGGUGGGCUGCCUCCUCAGACUGGAGCCCAACCCACAAGCAGAGAUGUACCGUCUGACCCUGCGGACCAGCAGGGAGUCUGUGUCUCAGAGACUGUGUGAUCUUCUCUCUGAGCAGUUUUAGACUCCACACCUUUACUCUCACUUUAGAUAGGAAUCGAUGUAAUGUACAGUGUAAAUUCAUUCUUUUUUUUUCUUUUUUUUACUUACUCCACAUGUAAAUGAAGUGAAAUGUAUUUUCCGCACACAGCUUUACUAAUAUACCACUGCUUUAAACCUGCCUUGUGCUCCGAGUGUGUCCUCACACUGAGCUCCUCUGUCCUGCAGCUCCAGAGUUCUGAACACUUCUGAUUGGGUACAGCGUUUCUUCUUCAAGCCAUUUGAAGAGUGUGUUGUGAAGCAUUAAUGAGACUGAGUUAGGUGACGAUCUAGUAACUUUUAAUAUGACGCCCAUGUCUAUAAUGCAUUAUGAGCUGCUUGUAGCACUGUGUAAUUAUUAUAGUGAAAAGCAUUGUUUGAAGUUGUGCUCAUAACUUGAGCUAUAAAAUCUAUGCAAGAACACCCUGAACCUAAAAUGAAUUGUUACUUAAAGCACCCGAUGAGCACUUAGAGAAACUUCAUCAAAUCACAUUAUAAUGCACUUGAACAGUGCUUAUAAGGCAUUAUACAAGAGUCUAAUGUAUUAAAACUGGGAAUUUAAUACAUUAUGAUCCUUGCAACUACAAAAAAAGUCAUUAUAAAAUGCAUCAUAAUGUGAUUUCUGUUAUAAGUGCUUAUAACUACACAGUGCUAUGUGUUAUGAGGCAUUAUAGGCUUAGAAAGUGUUCGGAUUGUAAUGAAAGAAUUCAGUUGUACUGAUGAGACUUGUAUUCGUGUAGUGUUUCAAACUAACUACAAAGCUUUCCUCAACUUCUUCCCCAUUUUGCACUCGUUGAGUAAAACAAUUAGAUCACAUAAGGAGAUCCGAUGGAUUUAAAUGAGAUCCUUUUUAUUUCAAUUUCAGAAUUCUUCCUGUAUUUCACCGAGUGUACUCGUCUGUCGUCUCAGGAGGAAAAGCAAAGCUUUACAUUGUGGUAUUUUUAUUUAGCAAAUAAUAACUUUGGAUGCUACAAUUCUUUCCCGUGGUGGGAAUCUUUGAGCUUCACUGUGCAUUAAGUUUAUACAUAGAAUUUAGGCUCUCCAAAAAAAAAGGCAAAAAAACAAAAAAAAAAAUUGAGAACACUAUUUAGGAAAUUAAUCAACUUCUGAUUGUUGUGAAAUGCA